UGGGGAAUAUUGCACAAUGGGCGCAAGCCUGAUGCAGCCAUGCCGCGUGUGUGAAGAAGGCCUUCGGGUUGUAAAGCACUUUCAGCGAGGAGGAAGGUGGUGAGCUUAAUACGUUCAUCAAUUGACGUUACUCGCAGAAGAAGCACCGGCUAACUCCGUGCCAGCAGCCGCGGUAAUACGGAGGGUGCAAGCGUUAAUCGGAAUUACUGGGCGUAAAGCGCACGCAGGCGGUUUGUUAAGUCAGAUGUGAAAUCCCCGGGCUCAACCUGGGAACUGCAUUUGAAACUGGCAAGCUAGAGUCUCGUAGAGGGGGGUAGAAUUCCAGGUGUAGCGGUGAAAUGCGUAGAUAUCUGGAGGAAUACCGGUGGCGAAGGCGGCCCCCUGGACGAAGACUGACGCUCAGGUGCUAAAGCGUGGGGAGCAAACA
rnacentral:rRNA from 1 species